rnacentral:rRNA from 1 species
GUGUCAGCAGCCGCGGUAAUACGUAGGGUGCGAGCGUUAAUCGGAAUUACUGGGCGUAAAGCGUGCGCAGGCGGUUGUAUAAGUCAGAUGUGAAAUCCCCGGGCUCAACCUGGGAACUGCAUUUGAGACUGUACGGCUAGAGUGUGGCAGAGGGGGGUGGAAUUCCACGUGUAGCAGUGAAAUGCGUAGAGAUGUGGAGGAACACCGAUGGCGAAGGCAGCCCCCUGGGCCAAUACUGACGCUCAUGCACGAAAGCGUGGGGAGCAAACAGGAUUAGAAACCCUUGUAGUCC